rnacentral:ncRNA from 2 species
UACCUUUGCCACGCUUUUGGUUUCCGGAUUUACACCCGGAAUUAAAAGGGAAUACAGUGUAAAUCUGUAACUGUCCCGCAGCUGUAAGCUCCUUAACGGAUUUCCAAUCAUUUUGCCACUGUGCCGACUUGUCGGUAUGGGAAGGCCGGAAAGCCGGGAGUAAGUCAGAAGACCUGCCUUAGCAUUAUAUUUCAU